GACGAACGCUGGCGGCGUGCUUAACACAUGCAAGUCGUACGGUAAGGCCCUUUCGGGGGUACACGAGUGGCGAACGGGUGAGUAACACGUGAGUAACCUGCCCACAACUUUGGGAUAACGCUAGGAAACUGGUGCUAAUACUGGAUAUGUGCUCCUGCUGCAUGGUGGGGGUUGGAGAGCUCCGGCGGUUGUGGAUGGACUCGCGGCCUAUCAGCUUGUUGGUGGGGUAGUGGCCUACCAAGGCGGCGACGGGUAGCCGGCCUGGGGGGGUGACCGGCCCCAUUGGGACUGAGAUAAGGCCCAGGCUCCUACGGGAGGCAGCAGUGGGGAAUAUUGCACAAUGGGCGCAAGCCUGAUGCAGCAACGCCGCGUGCGGGAUGACGGCCUUCGGGUUGUAAACCGCUUUCAGCAGGGACGAAGCUUUUUGUGACGGUACCUGCAGAAGAAGCACCGGCUAACUACGUG
rnacentral:rRNA from 1 species